GACGAACGCUGGCGGCGUGCCUAAUACAUGCAAGUAGAACGCUGAAGAGAGGAGCUUGCUCUUCUUGGAUGAGUUGCGAACGGGUGAGUAACGCGUAGGUAACCUGCCUUGUAGCGGGGGAUAACUAUUGGAAACGAUAGCUAAUACCGCAUAACAAUGGAUGACACAUGUCAUUUAUUUGAAAGGGGCAAUUGCUCCACUACAAGAUGGACCUGCGUUGUAUUAGCUAGUAGGUGAGGUAAUGGCUCACCUAGGCGACGAUACAUAGCCGACCUGAGAGGGUGAUCGGCCACACUGGGACUGAGACACGGCCCAGACUCCUACGGGAGGCAGCAGCAGGGAAUCUUCGGCAAUGGGGGCAACCCUGACCGAGCAACGCCGCGUGAGUGAAGAAGGUUUUCGGAUCGUAAAGCUCUGUUGUAAGUCAAGAACGGGUGUGAGAGUGGAAAGUUCACACUGUGACGGUAGCUUACCAGAAAGGGACGGCUAACUACGUG
rnacentral:rRNA from 1 species